GACGAACGCUGGCGGCGUGCUUAACACAUGCAAGUCGAACGGAAAGGCCCUGCUUGCAGGGUACUCGAGUGGCGAACGGGUGAGUAACACGUGGGUGAUCUGCCCUGCACUUCGGGAUAAGCCUGGGAAACUGGGUCUAAUACCGGAUAGGAGCCAUUUUUAGUGUGAUGGUUGGAAAGUCUUUUCGGUGUAGGAUGAGCUCGCGGCCUAUCAGCUUGUUGGUGGGGUAAUGGCCUACCAAGGCGGCGACGGGUAGCCGGCCUGAGAGGGUGGACGGCCACAUUGGGACUGAGAUACGGCCCAGACUCCUACGGGAGGCAGCAGUGGGGAAGAUUGCACAAUGGGCGCAAGCCUGAUGCAGCGACGCCGCGUGGGGGAUGACGGCCUUCGGGUUGUAAACUCCUUUCGCUAGGGACGAAGCUUUUUGUGACGGUACCUAGAGAAGAAGCACCGGCUAACUACGUG
rnacentral:rRNA from 1 species